UGUGUUAUAAUGCUCCUCCCCCUAGUAAAGGUGUGUUAUAAUGCUCCUCCUCAGUAAAGGUGUGUUAUUAUAAUGCUCCUCCCCCUAGUAAAGGUGUUAUAAUGCUCCUCCCCCUAGUAAAGGUGUGUUAUAAUGCUCCUCCCCCUAGUAAAGGUGUGUUAUAAUGCCCCUCCCCCUAGUAAAGGUGUGUUAUAAUGCUCCUCCCCCUAGUAAAGGUGUGUUAUAAUGCUCCUCCCCCUAGUAAAUGUGUGUUAUAAUGCUCCUCCCCAUAGUAAAGGUGUGUUAUAAUGCUCCUCCCCCUAGUAAAGGUGUGUUAUUAUAAUGCUCCCCCUCAGUAAAGGUGUGUUAUUAUAAUGCUCCUCCCCCUAGUAAAGGUGUGUUAUAAUGCCCCUCCUCCCCCCAUGUAAAGGUGUGAUAUUAUAAUGCUCCUCCUCCCCCCUAGUAAAGGUGUGUUAUUAUAAUGCUCCCCCUCAGUAAAGGUGUGUUAUUAUAAUGCUCCUCCCCCUAGUAAAGGUGUGUUAUUAUAAUGCUCCUCCCCCUAGUAAAGGUGUGUUAUAAUGCUCCUCCCCCUAGUAAAGGUGUGUUAUAAUGCUCCUCCUCAGUAAAGGUGUGUUAUUAUAAUGCUCCUCCCCCUAGUAAAGGUGUUAUAAUGCUCCUCCCCCUAGUAAAGGUGUGUUAUAAUGCUCCUCCCCCUAGUAAAGGUGUGUUAUAAUGCCCCUCCCCCUAGUAAAGGUGUGUUAUAAUGCUCCUCCCCCUAGUAAAGGUGUGUUAUAAUGCUCCUCCCCCUAGUAAAGGUGUGUUAUAAUGCUCCUCCCCCUAGUAAAUGUGUGUUAUAAUGCUCCUCCCCCUAGUAAAGGUGUGUUAUAAUGCUCCUCCCCCUAGUAAAGGUGUGUUAUUAUAAUGCUCCCCCUCAGUAAAGGUGUGUUAUUAUAAUGCUCCUCCCCCUAGUAAAGGUGUGUUAUAAUGCCCCUCCUCCCCCCAUGUAAAGGUGUGAUAUUAUAAUGCUCCUCCUCCCCCCUAGUAAAGGUGUGUUAUUAUAAUGCUCCCCCUCAGUAAAGGUGUGUUAUUAUAAUGCUCCUCCCCCUAGUAAAGGUGUGUUAUAAUGCUCCUCCCCCUAGUAAAGGUGUGUUAUAAUGCUCCUCCUCAGUAAAGGUGUGUUAUUAUAAUGCUCCUCCCCCUAGUAAAGGUGUUAUAAUGCCCCUCCCCCUAGUAAAGGUGUGUUAUAAUGCUCCUCCCCCUAGUAAAGGUGUGUUAUUAUAAUGCUCCCCCUCAGUAAAGGUGUGUUAUUAUAAU